rnacentral:tRNA from 13 species
UGUCAGAAGUGGGUUUCGAACCCACGCCCACAAGAGAGAACUAUGACCUGAACGCAGCGCCUUAGACCGCUCGGCCUUUCUGAC